rnacentral:tRNA from 1 species
GCCUGGGUGGCUCAGUGGUUGAGCAUCUGCCUUCAGCUCAGGGCGCGAUCCCAGGGUCCUGGGAUCGAGUCCCGCUUCAGGCU